AUUAGUUUUUUAAUUGAGAACUGGAAUGAAUGGUUGGACGAGAGAUUAACUGUCUUAAAUUUAUUUAAUUAGAAUUUUAUUUUUAAGUAAAAAAGCUUAAAUAUAAAUAAAAGACGAGAAGACCCUAUAGAACUUUAUAAGUGUAAAAUAUUGAUUAUUUAGGUAAAAAUUAUUUGUAUUAAAAUACUUAUUUUAUUGGGGUGAUUAAAAAAUUAAAAUAACUUUUUUAUAUUAAUGAUAUAUUAAUGAAUAGGUAAAUGAUCCAAUUUUGUUGAUUAUUAGAUUAAGUUACCUUAGGGAUAACAGCGUAAUUUUUUUAGAUAGUUCUUAUUGAAAAAAGAGAUUGCGACCUCGAUGUUGGAUUAAAUUUAAUUAUAGGUGUAGGGGCUUAUAAAUUUGGUCUGUUCGACCAUUGAAAAUUUACAUGAUCUGAGUUUAAACCGGUGUGAGCCAGGUUGGUUUCUAUCUUUAGUUAAUUAUAGUAUAAUAGUACGAAAGGAAUUUGUAUUAUAUAAAUUAUAUUAAAUAAGAUUAUUAUUAUUAUUUUGGCAGAUUAGUGCUUUAAAUUUAGAAUUUAAAUAAAUAUAUUAAUUAUAUAAAUAAUAGUUUAUAU
rnacentral:rRNA from 1 species